rnacentral:rRNA from 1 species
AUUGAACGCUGGCGGCAUGCCUUACACAUGCAAGUCGAACGGCAGCGGACCUUCGGGUGCCGGCGAGUGGCGAACGGGUGAGUAACACGUGGGUAAUCAACCCUUCAGCCUGGGAUAACGACUCGAAAGGGUCGCUAAUACCGGAUACGGCGCGAGAGGCUUCGGCUUCUCACGAGAAAGCCACGCAAGGGGCACUGAAGGACGAGCCUGCGGCCCAUCAGCUAGUUGGUGAGGUAAGAGCUCACCAAGGCUAAGACGGGUAGCUGGUCUGAGAGGAUGAUCAGCCACACUGGAACUGAGACACGGUCCAGACUCCUACGGGAGGCAGCAGUGGGGAAUAUUGCGCAAUGGGCGAAAGCCUGACGCAGCCACGCCGCGUGAGCGAUGAAGGCCUCGGUCGGUAAGACGUCUGUGGGAGGAGGACGAAGAAAGA